GUUGAAAAGAACCACAAUGAUCAUUGAGUUUCAGCCCCCCUACUAUGUGCAAGGUCUCCAAUCACUAGACCAGGCUGCCCAGAGCCACAGCCAGACUGGCCAUGAAUGCCUCCAGAGACGGGGCAUCCACAACCUCCUUGGGCAACCUGUUCAGUGUCUCACCACCCUUUGCGUGAAAAAACUUCUUCCUAAUAUCCAGCCUAAACCUCCCCUGUCCCAGUUUAAAACCAUUCCCCUUUGUCCUAUCACUGUCCACUCUCAUGAACAGCCGUUCCCCUUUCUGACCAUAUACUCCCUUCAAGUACUGGAAGGCUGCAAUGAGGUCUCCCCGGAGCUUUCUCUUCUCCAAACUGAACAAUCCCAGCUCCCUCAAACUUUCCUCAUAGGAGAGGUGCUCCAGCCCUUUGAUCAUCUUAGUAGCCCUCCUCCAGACCCGCUCCAAGAGCUCCGUGUCCUUCCAGUAUUGGGGGCCGCAGGCCUGGACGCAUUACUCCACAUGGGGCCUCACAAGAGAUGAGUAGAGGGGCGCAAUCACCUCCCUCUCCCGGCUGGCCACCCCUUUUUUAUUGCAGCCCAGAACACAACUGGCCUUCUGAGGUGCAAGCACACACUGCUGGCUCAUGCCCAGCUUCUCGUCUACCAGGACCCCCAAGUCCUUCUCCGCAGGGCUGCUCUCAAGGAGAUCAUCCCCCAGUUUGUAUAAAUACCUGGGAUUGCCCCGACCCAAAUGCAGCACCCUGCACUUGGCCUUACUGAACCUCAUUAGGUUUUCAUGGGCCCACUUCUCCAGCCUCUCCACGUCCCUCUGGAUGGCUUCCCUUCCUUCCAAUGUACCGACUGCACCACUCAGCUUAGUGUCAUCCGCAAACUUGCUGAGGGUGCACUCGAUGCCAUCGUCUGUCAUUGAUAAAGAUGUUGAAGAGCACCAGUCCCAAGACCAACCCUGAGAGACACCACUUGUGACCGGCCUCCACCCUGACACAGACCCAUUGAUCACAACUCUUUGGCUGCGUCCAGCCAGCCGAUUCCUAAUCCAUUGAACAGUCC
ensembl:lncRNA